GGACCCAUAGCUCAGUUGGUUAGAGCAACCGGCUCAUAACCGGUCGGUCCUGGGUUCGAGUCCCCGUGGGUCCA
rnacentral:tRNA from 8 species